GAUGAACGCUAGCGGCAGGCUUAACACAUGCAAGUCGAGGGGCAGCACGAUGUAGCAAUACAUUGGUGGCGACCGGCGCACGGGUGCGUAACACGUAUGGAACUUACCCUUUACUGGAGGAUAGCCCGGAGAAAUCCGGAUUAAUACUCCAUAAUAAACGAGGUGGCAUCACCUUGUUUUGAAAGCUCCGGCGGUAAAGGAUGGCCAUGCGCACGAUUAGCUAGUUGGUGAGGUAAUGGCUCACCAAGGCUACGAUCGUUAGGGGGCCUGAGAGGGUUAUCCCCCACACUGGUACUGAGACACGGACCAGACUCCUACGGGUGGCUG
rnacentral:rRNA from 1 species